GCCGCUGCAGUCGGGUCACGUGAGGGAGACACCGCCCAGCCGCCUCAGCCUAAACUAGCGAAGAGGCAGGUGACGCGGACUGCCUCCUCCCUGCCGCUGUUCCUGGCCGCCGCUCGCCACGGAGCGGCAGGCGAAUGGGCAAGCCAUCACACCUAUCGUAAGGCACGAAGGCUCCGCAAGCCAGAAUACCGUAGCUUUGGUUUCUGGCAACCGGAGGAGUCUGGAAGGAACGCUGGACAGGGAGCUAGGAGUCCUGGCUCCUUCCUGGGAGUGUUGUUGGAGUAGUCACUGGACUCAGAGCCCCAGAGCCCUGUCUGAAAAGUAACUCCCGCCUUGCUUUCAUCCUAAGGUGUUGUAAGAAUUACUGGAGUCACCCACGACGGCGUCUCUCAUCCCCACUGCCAGCUCCUCCGGGCGGGGCUGUCUGACUCCUGGCUUGUCAACCCAGUGCUCGGCAGAAAGGAUGCUUUGGAGCUGUUUAUGGAAAUAAAGUACUGGUGCAGAGCAGAGCCUCUAAAAGGGAUGGUCUGGUUACUUGGGGAAAGAAACAUGGGAAUGUUGCCAAUGGAAGUUUGGUUACGUGCCCUCUGCUUCCCCCAAAGUACUUUCUAGAAAGUUGUCCACCAGCCCUGUGUCCACAAAAACAGCUUUAUGCAAGCUGUCAGCGGAGUCUCAGCUACUGUGAGUGGCUCUGCCCAGAUAAGGUCACCUUUGGUCAUCCCUUAACAAGAGGUCAGUGACCUUCCUCUCUCUGCAGCUGACAUUUCCCAGACCCUUGCAACCUUCUGGGCCUCUCUCUGCCACUCCCCUUUACACCCCUAGGCCCUAGCCACACAGCUGGUCACUUUGGAUGCCCUUCCCUGGACUUUAGUGUCCUUUUACACACUCCCAAACUACGUAAGUUUUGUCCUCUGUGCCUAGAAGACCCUGCUUGGUUCAUGACAAAGUCCGGUUUAUCCUUCACUGCUCAGCUCAAACAGAGGCUUCUCUUUGCCCUUUCCCUGACCCAGACCUUGACCCUGCCACAUCCAUGCUGCAGGGCCCCACCUGAGCGGCCAAGCCCAGCCACUCUCUUCCCCCAAGGAGUCCUUUACCUGUUUUCAGCCUUUCUCUCCCCCUGGCUAGUCUGUGAACCUUGGGACAUGGUGCCUUUCUUCACUCGUUUCCAAACCCACAAUGACCUAACAACUCACAUGUGCCUGUAUAUAUAACACACAUUAACCAGAUAGAGGUCUUACCCUACAAGCCUGUGUGAUUAUUCUGUUCUGUUCAUUUUAAUACUGGUGGGGCCUCACUCAGUCAGUGAUUCUGACCCCUGUUGCACAUUAGAAUCAUCUGGGGAUAUUUAAGAACAAAAAAACCCUAGACCUGGGUCUAUCCUCAGAGAUUCUGAUUUAAUUGGUCUGCAGUGGUUCUUGGACAUUAGUAUGUUUUCAAAGCUCCCCAGGUGUGCUGAGAUUGAGAACAAUAGCACUAAAUCCUUGCUUCCCAAAUGUGCUGAAGAUAAGAAACACAUGAACUUGGCCAACUGCGUAUGGUCCCCAGGCCUGCAGCAUCGGCAUCACCUGGGAGCUUGUUAGAAAUGCAGAAUCCUGGCCUGCCCCAGACCUGCUGAAUCAGGAUCUGUCUGUAUUUAACAAAAUCACCAGGUGAUUUUUAUGCAUGUUACAGCUUGAAAAGCAUUGACAUAGAUUCUAGGUUUUAGAAGGUUGGUGUGGUGCAGCGCCUUACUUAAUACGGCCCUUUAACCCAUAGUCUUCGUAACUCUAACCAAAUGGCUGGGUGGGACUAUACAAAUGAGGUGCUUUUGGCCCACUAAGGGGCUUGGAUAGCUUGCUAACAAUUUAAAGAAUGUGCAUGGUGGGACCAGGCAAAUAAGGAUAUACCUUAUUUGUUAACCUAUGAUUGUUAAGGUUGUGUGUCAACUUGGAUGGGCCAUGAUUUUCAGUGGUUUGGCAGUUACGAUGUUUGGCAGUUGUAUGAUGAUGUGAUCACUUCCAUGAUGAAAUUUAAUAUAAUGUGAUCACCUCCAUGUUGGAAUCUGCUCUGAGCCAGUCAGUUGAAAAAGAGUUUCCUUGGGGGUGUGGCCUGCAUCCAAUGUAGGUGGAUUCACUGGCAAGUCUCGUGGGCUCUUGCUUGCUUUUCAUCCUUCGGCUGGCUCCUGUUCAUCUGAUUUCUGGUUCUUGGGACUUGAGCUAGCAGCUUACCUGCUGUCUUGCCUGCCGAUCUUGGGAUUCGUCAGUCUUCACAGUCUGUGUGCCAGAACCCUGCUGUCUAACCUGCUGAUCCUGAGUUCUGUAGGCCCUGUGGCUACAUGAAUCAGGAGAAGCCUCCAGCCUGACCCAGGGACCUGGGGCAUUCUAGCCUCUACAACUGCAUGAGUCAUUUCCUUGACAUAAAUCUCUCUAUAUAUUUAUACACUUUAUUGGUUUUGUUUCUCUGGAGAACCCACCCUAAGACAGAACCUUAAAGAGGAGAUUGGCCUGUUUUACCAUCCCACUAGGCUUAAAGGGAGACACUGAGAGAGUGUAGGAGCUAUAACAUCAGAGAUGAUAAAAAUUAGCGACAGAGAAACGGUGGCAGCAGAACCAAGAGAUCAGCAGGAGACUUGCUGGCAGGAGACAGUGUGGUGGGCUUCCUGGCCUAUAGAGUGAGAAAGCUGAGUUCCUUUGGGUGGGAAGCUUGGUGGCAGAGUAGGUGGCCUCUGGGCACUUGAGCGAGCUAGGUUUGCUGUCCCACGGAGGUAGAGCUGAGCACCUUCCGGCUGAGGCCUAUUGGUGGAGUGGGGUACCUCUGGGCACUUAUCAGCAGAGCUGAAAGAGCUUUGUAACACUUAACCAAGCAGGGCAGAGGCCUGGCUGAGUUGCUGAGGGCCAGGGAGAGGCCUGCCUGCAGGCACAGCUGAGAAGAGGCUGUCCUGAUCAAAGAAUUAUAUCCUGAGCGUUCCUGAACCUGUGUUACUUCCCUAAUAAACCCCAUAAUCGUGAGCAUUGUCUGUGAGUUCUUUGUGGUCAUUGCAAUGAGUUAUCGAACUCAGCAGAGAAUUAGAGUGCCCUGUGGAAGGGAUGAUUGGUGUCAGAAUUAAUGAAGAUGGCAAAGAGAGGAGAUGUGUCUGACCUCUGCCUCAUAGGAAUCAGCCUUGGGAUGUUGAUCUUGAUUCUCCUUCUCCCUUGUGAAAUUAAAUGAGGUCAGAUGCCUCCACCACGCCAUUUUAACAGUUGGUUAAAAAAAUAGAUCUCCAAGUCAUUGCUUAGGAAGCACUGAGUUCCUUUUAACGGUGGUGGAACACUUUGGGAAAGGAAAACGGUAAUGGUUGCACUGCCUGUGAAAGCUGGACAAUGAAUAAGGAAGACCGAAGAAAAAUAGAUGCCUCUGAAUUGUGGUGUUGGCGAAGAAUAUUGAACAUACCAUGGACUGCCAGAAGAACGAACAAAUCUGUCCUGGAAGAAGUACAGCCAGAAUGCUCCUUAGAAGCAAGGAUGGCAAGACUUUGUCUCAUGUACUUGGGACAUGUUACCAGGAGGGACCAGUUCCUGGAGAAGGACGUGGUAAAGUGGAGGGUCAGCGAAAAAGACAAAGACCCUCAAUGAGAUGGAUUAACACAGUGGCUAUAACAAUAGGCUCAAACAAUGAUUGGGAGGAUGGUGCAGGGCUGGGUAACAUUUCGUUCUGUACGCAUAGGGUUGCUAUGAGUUGGAACUGACUUGAAAGCACCUAACAACCGUAGUUACACAAUAUGAUGAACUUAAUUAUACAAGUAAAAAUCAUUGAAUUGGCAAAUGUUUUGUUAUAUUUUUACUUUGUUGUUGUUUUACCCUAUGUGUUACAGAGUAGAACUGCUCCAUAGGGUUUUCUUGGCUGUGAUCUUAAUGGAAGCAGAUCACCAGGUCUUUUCUGCAGUACCACUGGGUGGGUUUGAAUCGCCAACCUUUAGGUUAGCAGUCAAGCGCAAACCAUUUGUGCCACCUAAGGACCUAUAUUUUUACUACAAUAAUAAUUAAAAAAAAAAAAACUCCCCAGUCCUAACUCAGAUCUACUACUAAAUCAGAAUUUCCCAGGGAGAGGCCAGUCGACCUAUAUGGAUUAACACAGACCCCAGGUGAUUCUUCUUAAGCAGUUUUGUGAAACAACAGCUCUACCUGAUAAUCAGACCCAUAAUAGUGACCUAAAGUUUAAACACAGGGGCCUGCAGGGUUCAGGAAUGUGUGAGUGGAUGAGCCUUCCGCCCAGGGGGAAGUGGGAGCCCAGGCCUAGGAGAGAUGGUACAAACUGUGUGAGUGGAUGAGCCUUCCGCCCAGAGGGGAAGUGGGAGCCCAGGCCUAGGAGAGAUGGUACAAACUGUGUGAGUGGAUGAGCCUUCCGCCCAGAGGGGAAGUGGGAGCCCAGGCCUAGGAGAGAUGAUACAAACUGUGUGAGUGGAUGAGCCUUCUGCCCAGGGGGGAAGUGGGAGCCCAGGCCUAGGAGAGAUGGUACAAACUGUGUGAGUGGAUGAGCUUUCAGCCCAGGGGGGAAGUGGGAGCCCAGGCCUAGGAGAGAUGGUACAAACUGUGUGAGUGGAUGAGCUUUCAGCCCAGGGGGGAAGUGGGAGCCCAGGCCUAGGGAGCCCAGGCCUAGGAGAGAUGGUACAAACCAAGAGGUGUGAGGUUCGUAGGAGCAGGGAAUUGCAAUCAGGUGCAAAUCAUGUAUGUUCCAUGACACUGUGACAGAUGGGCACAGCAGGGUCAUCACCCCCAGUCUGCAGAGCCUGUGGCAAGCUCUGCUCCUCAGUGAAGGGUCAUUUCAUCAGAGAAUUACCUCGACGCCUCUGAGAAGGAGGAGGCGCGCUUGCUUAGGCCACUAGAAAGAAAACGGUAUGUGCGUUAAAUGAAAAAUUUAAAACCCCAUUGAGUAAACAUGCACCUACCCACCCUGGGGAGAUCACAAGUCUGCAUCGACUUAGAGGGGACUCUCUAAUGGCUUAAAUGAAGCACUGGCAACCCCAUGUGUGUCAGAGUGGAACUGUGCUCCAUAGGGUUUUCAGUGGCUGAUUUUUCAGAAGUAGAUUGACAGGCCUUUCUUCCAAGGUGCCUCUGGGUGUGCUUGAACCCCCAACCUUUCAGCUAGCAGCAGCACUCAUACCGUUUGCACCACCCAUAGACUCCAAGAAAACAGUAGGAAGAGUUAAAAGCUCUGCUCUGGGAGGCCCCAGUGCUUGGUAUAGCUGGACAGGGGCAUGUAAGGAAGAGAGGACUCACUACAGAGUGGAGCUGCAGGUGUGAGUCACAGCUCAGGCAGCCAGGGCCAUGUGACCCUGGCCAAGUCACUCUUCUCUGUGUGAGUCUAGCUUCACGAUUCUUACUAGUCUGUGACUGGGGGUGAUGUGCAGUGGGGGGUGCCAUUUAUUUUAUAAGGAGGUUAAGGAAAGUAACUCACACAAGUUAAGGUGAGAUUUUCACACUGGUUCUUUUUAAAACACCCAGCAAGAGAAGUGGGCAGUGAUGGUGGCAACAGCUUAGAGCCAGAGGCGGAAGCAACGGUCCUCUGUUUCCAGGCCGUGGGUGUGGAAUGGCCCCCAGGGCUACACACCGACAUCACUGUCUUGACAGGCAUGGGUGAGGUGGGCAGCUGCCAGGCUGAGAAGAGCCGCACACCUUCCUGAAGUCACUCCUGCCUCUCUGGUCGUGCUGUUUAUGUUUAUUCCUCCCAUACACACCUGUUUAAACUCCUCGACCAGGCUAUGCCGAGGGGACAGGAAGGUAAUGAAGCUCAGAGACCAAGACAAAGCUGGGACCAUCCCUUCCUCCUGGGAUCAAGCACUGGCACUCUGCUGUUCUCUGGACCUUGGGUCUUCCUUGCCUCACUGGGCUUCUGCCCUUGCCCCCACUGCAUUGUGGGCAGGGCCCACGCAGGUUCCGCCCGCACAGAGCCUGACCCGCCUCUCUGUGGCCGGAAGACCUUAAAUGCUUCCCCAGCCCAAGACUGGAACAACCCUUCGGCUUCACACAGAGGCCAGGAAUGGCUGACAGUCCAUGAGAAGCCCACUGCGCAGAUGAGAAAACUAAGGACCAGAGGGAGAAGCAACUUCCCAGGCCAGAGCACAAGGACACCAGGGCUUUCCCAAGUCCUUUCCACCUCUGUGAUAUAGGGGGAGAAGGGAUGGGGGAAGCGUGGCACCAAGGCUUCUGCCACCGUGGAGAUGUUCUAGGAGUCGAGGAAGCUGGGGUGAAGGGGCACACGAGGUCACAUGGCCACGCCCCAACACCUGGAUCCUGCCCACUGCCUCCUGAAACAGCUUCCCUGUGACAAGCUAAAGACACAUAUGCCAAGUUAAUGCAAACAAAUGUCUAAAUGUAAAUACUGCUAAGCCAAACGACUUGAUUUAUAGCCAAAUAAUGAGGCUUUCAAUAAACGCAUCAGCAGCGAUUAGCCUUCCGAAGGCACAUGGGCAUUUCUCAAGCUCUAAGUUGGAGGCCCAGGGUGAAGGCCUUAAAUAAAUCAUGAUAAAAAGCCACCUCCAGGUAGGAGGAGAGCUGGCAGAUUCUUGUCCUGGUGAACAUGGAGAAGCAUAAGGCUUCUCUUAUGCCACACAGAAUAGCAGGUAGGUCAAAAUAAACCCAUUUUGGGCAAUUUUCUCAGGAGAAAACAGUGUCAAACAAGAGGUUUCUAAUGAUCGGGGCUGAGAGCAGAGGAAGUGAACCUCCCAUCACUGGAGGUAUGUAAGCUAGACGCUGCUGGAUGAUUUGCAGCCCCUCCCUCCCCGCAUUGGUGUUCCCAUCAGCCCUCAGGCUCAGCCAGCUGGGGAUGAAAAUGGCAAGCAGGGGUCGAGUCGGGGAUGGGGUGAAGUUUGAAAUGCUAUCAGAGCUUCAGGUAUGGGAAAGAGGGUCUAGGGGUUUUUAUCUCUAACCGAGGGCCUCUCUAAGAACACAAAGUCCCGUGUAUGCCUGGGACAGAUGGGGCUGGUGGUGGUAGCUGGAUGAGACCAAGCCCUGGAUGGAAGUCAGAUGCCUGGGUUUGAACUCUGACCCCACUGAUGUCAUUGGCUGGGUUAAGUCCUCUCUUACUGUGCCUCAGUGUCCCCAUCUGAAGAAGGGGGAGGGGUCCGAACAGAGCUGAAGUUCUCAAGUGAGGGGCAUCUCAGGGUGGUGGAGGCCACCCCAGCACCAGCCACAGUUACAAGGGACGGCAGGAUGGUUCUGUCUCAGGGACGGGGAAAGGCAGACUCAGCACUGUGCACCGGGGGUCCCAGGGCUCAGGGAUGGCAUAAGGCAGGCUUCCUAAUGGCUGUCCAUGGGGAUGGGCCAAGGGUGGUCCCUUCUACUCAGCACCUGCCCCUCCCAGCCCGCUUGCUCCUUGGAGCCAUGGUUCUCAAUCAGGGGUGAUUCUUCCACUCCAUCGCCACCGGGCAAUGUCUGGAGACACGGGUGCUGCUGCAAUCUAAUGGGGAGAGGCAGGAAAGCCCUACAGGAAAGAAUGAGCCUGCCUACAAUGUCCACAGACCACUCAUGGUCACCUGUGCCUCGAAUUCUUCAUUUAUGAAACCGAGUAAUGACUGAGGCUGCUGUCACAGUGGCCAUGAGGAGUAACGAGAACCUCCGGGGAAGUGUGAGGCAGGACAGGUGUUAGGUCACCUUGCCCCUUAUCUAAGGGCUUAAGACACAGCACAGAGUUUGCUAAACAGUCACUGGCUCCAGGCUGUUUCCAAGGACCAGCCCCCAACCCCCACCCAGCAGAUCAGGGGAACAAUAGGUGACAUUUGAAGGAAGCUCUGGAAUAGGGACCAUGCAGGUGCUGGGCGGCAGCAGCCUUGGGAUAAGGCCCAGUUGCUGAGGAGGUGCCUUAACAGGCAAAGGGCAGUUGGAGUCAACUCAAGUAAAGCUGGAUGGUGAGACGGAGGCCCAGUAGGCAGGGAAGGUGACAUGCGGACAGUGCCGCAAGAAACAGGGGCAAAGCAGCCACUGCCUGAGCCUCAGCACACUUGGGGAGGGUGGUGGAAACAACCAAGGACUUAGGGUCACCCAGACUUUGGUUGGAGUCCCCACUCUGCCACUUCUGAGCUGUGGUCCUCUCUAAGUCUCAGUUUCUUCCUUUGUGAAAUGCAGCUUUUAGCAGCCACCCAAAAGGGUUGUCCUGAGGCCUGGACAGUGGAUCUGCAAGUCUUGGAGGUGCCGCGGUGCCACGGAUGCCUGCAGACACCCCUGGAGGUCCGCUGCUGAAAAGCCUCACUCCUCGGCAGCCCCCUCAGAUAAGCAUGCAGUGCAACAAGGGGCUCCGGUCAGACUUCAGCUCAGGAGGCAACUUUUUCUUCUUUUUCUUUUUUUAACGAAGAGUAGGGCCUUUCUGAAAACACUGAUGCAAAUGCAGGGCUCAGGGCUUAGGGCUCACAUGGGCUUCAUUUUCACCUCUCCUCAGUAGCCUCCUUACAAAUGCUGCCCAGCUGGUUUGUCUUGCUGGCUGCCCCCUGACCGGGCUGCACCGAGUCUCCCUCUCCAGCUGCCCUGGCCUGCGGUCCAUGGCCCUACUGGCAGCCCAGAAGCCGAGGAUGGCCAGGCAGCUCCCGCCUGCUGGACCAGCUCCUCAGUGGGCAGCAUGCAUGGCUGGGUCUGUCGCCAGGUGACACUGGCCAGGUGUUUAUUUCUAUGGGAUCAGUUAUCUCCAACCAUCAAGCAGCGUUUCAGGACACUUGCAAAACAUGUUGUCAUACAUGGAGAUCAACAUGAAAACAACGAGGGAAGGGGCUUCUCUGCUAACAAAUACUGGUCACAGAUGGUCUGAGGCAUUUAUUAAGUGCCUACUGUGUGCAUCACUCUGUAGCCAACUUUUCUGAGGGAGACAAGAAGCCGACCAGAGGCUUUUGAGACCUUUUGGUCCCCUGUCCUCAUUUUGGAGACAAGGACAUAGAGGCCCAGACAAGAGCAGAGGUGUGGAAUGAAUGGGGGGCCAGGAUGCCCCUGUCCCCUCAGUUGUAGGGGGGUUUUCUCUGGCACUACUAGUGGACUCAGAGCCAGCAGUGAUGGUGGUGUGACGGGGCAGGAAGAGAGAGGAAGGCAGCCAUCCCCCACUGCCCAACUCUCCUCAGAAUCGGUCAUGGCCAAAUCACCCUGUGCACCCCCGCCAUCAAAACGUGAAGCUCACCUGCACCAUCCUCCCAGCCAACUACCACUCUUCAGGCUCCCCCAUAACUGACCAGGGUAUUCAUCAGCACAGCAACCAAAGAGGCUCACCACCCACAGAGCACCCCACCCAACGGUUUUAAUUAAAAAAAUAAAAUAAAAUAAGAGGAAAGAAGAAAAUCCAGAGAGGCCUUUUAGAACUACAAGUUAAAACAGAUCUACCCGCUCAGCUGCCCUGCGUCUAACCUGAGGGUGGUUUUCUUGUCCCUGGAAUUUCAAAGGUGCACGGUUGACUGCAAGCCGCCCAGACACCCUGGCCAAGGCCUUUUAUUAACCAUCUGAGUAUCAGUGGUGCCCUGUGGAAAAGCCCCACCCGUCCUUGGGGACCUGGGCCUCGCUUCUUCAUCUGUGACAUGAGGAAUAGUCUACAAUGCUCCCCAAAGCCCACUGGAAGCAAAAAAAAAGCUCUGAAGCAGACAUCAGGGACCUGAGUCCCACCCUGGUUCCAGCCCUUCAUUUCCCUGUCUGUAGAAAGAGGGACAGGACUAGAUGCUUCCUAAGGUCUCGGCCAUCUCUAAGUCUUUAUGGAAAGCUUGGCACACAGGAGACAUUCACACCACCUGCUGAGGAGUGGCUAUUCCCAUACUGAACAAAAGGAAUCAGCCCCAGAGAUGAAGAGGAGUGCAGGUUUCCCCAAGUGUACCCCAACGCCUGUACCAGAAUUCCCAGGGGCCUGAUAAGCCCAGAGCUCCUGGGCCUCUUUGGAACCAGAAUUUCCUUCUAACAUGCUCUCUAAGAGACUCUGACACAUUCAAGUUUGAGAACCACCGUCCUAGUUCCAGCUGAUGAUGGAAACUGUUAUUUUCAACAUUUUAGUGUCCAGCUUUUGUUGCUUACCCCCAGUGCUGGGGAGCUCACUCCCCACCACAACAACCCCUUCCAAUUUUAGACAGCUCUGCCUGUGGGAAAGUUCUUUCACAUUCUGAGCUGUAAUCUCACUUGCCACAGUUUACUGAUGGCAGUCCAGCUGAGACCUGGCUCCUGCAGGCCACAACUACCCCUUUUGGCCUGGGAAGGGGCCUCAGAGACAGGAAGACAGGCAUAGUAGCAGAGAGAGGCUUCUCCUCCCCACUUGUGCUCGCAGGGCAGAAUCUCCUGUCCUCCCCCAUCCUGGUCAGCCCCUCUGCUCAUACCCCUGGCAGUCACUGGCUCUCAUACAGUAGGGGCUGAACUGGACAGUGUGCCCUGAGGGCUUGUCCAGCUCUGCGUCCAGCAGGGCCAUCAGCCCUGUGAUCUGAAUCUCUGCUGACCUCCUGGUCCACCUCUGUCUUCCACCUCCCUCCCAAGUCUCCAAGAACAGGAUCUUAUUGACAUGCAAGUGUCACCAGACAUGUACAACACCAACUUCUUGAUUAGAACCAAAAGGGGAGCCGGUCCAACGACAUUAAGAAGCAAAACCCCUCUGGGUCUGGCCACACUUUGGAGGUUUGGAAAUGCAGUUUUGAAAGGUCACUGUCAGCCCUUAGUCAUUGGGCUCGUGUUGGGCAUUUAUUCCGGCAGCCUCUUGACAACCUCUUUCCACAGGGUGGAAGAUUUUCCCAAAAUUAAAUCUCUGGCUCUUUGCUCCCUAAUGAAAUUGAUUUCUGCUCUGAUACACAACAAAGCUUUCAUUUCAUUAUUUGGCUAGGGUUUGACCACAUUAAUUACAGAUUUUUUCAGCAUGGCUGCAAGUAAUUUAGUUCCAGAAAGUUACUUACUAUCAGAACUGACUGCUUUUUAAAAACGCGGCACCAGAAAAGAGUCAAACGGUCAACUCUAGCUUCUUCAUAGGAGAUUUUUUUUGGUUCAGGUUGGAACAAUCCAGGACAGGAAAAAGUAUUUUCCUAUCCUGAAGCUUUGAACCCAAAAAGAGAUUAUGCUAAUCUUUGUGGAGACUCUGAAUCUGAAGUUGAGGCGUCGGAGGAGCCCGCCGUCCCACGCGUUUGCUGUCUGGGCGUUUUACCGUUGCAUGUGUCAGAACUCACAUACGGCCCCAAGUCUGUAAUCAGCGUUUUGGCACAAAUUAUAUCUGCCUCGGGAGAUACUCAGCAGGACCGAGGACUGCAAAAGCCCACCUGGCACUCUGUAAUGUGUUCUCCCUGGGAGGCUGUGCUUGGCUGGGUGGGGCACACACUUUGAGUGUCAGGCUGAAAUCCUAGGCACACUGCUCACUUUUUGCAAGCUGGGGGGGGUGGCAGGGCAUCGUGGAGAGAUGUAGGGAAGGUGGGGUGUUGGCGUGGCCGCAGGCCAGGCCCUCACCUCUCUGAGCCCCGUCCCUGAGGGUGAAGUGGGGAGCAAAGAGGAGCUGCAGAGAGCUGACCAAGGCAGCAGGGAUUACAAAGCAUGUCUCCAUUCACAAUCUCAUUUAUGCUUCACAAUGAUCCUGUCAGUCAUUACAUACUAAUAGUUAUACCGUUAGUAUCCCCAUUGUAGAGAUGCAGAAACUGAGGCACACAGCUAGAGAGAGGCAGAAUUGGGAUUUGAAGCAGGUAUUCUGGCUCCAGGCAGUCCACCCUUCUAGUCAUGACCUUGUAUGGUCUCUCUCUACUGAUCACCCCCAUUUAGAUAUGAAAAGCAGAGCCAAGGUCAUAACACCACAGUCGACAAGCAUCUUACUCUGACUCAUUAAAGAAAGAAAAUCUCUAUUAUAAAGGAGGUUCACUGUGGAAAAUUUAGAAAACAAGCAAAAGGAGACAAAAAUCACCUGUCAUUUCACCACCCACAGACAGCUGUGAAUCACAAUUUGGCAUAGUGCCUUCCAGUAUUUUUCCUAUACACAUGUGUAUGUAUUUAAUACAUAGUUACAGAACAAGACUGAAUUUUUUAACUAGAUUUUAUUACAAUCAUAUCUCAUUUUGAAUGUCCUGUGUGAUUAUACUUCUCUUGUAUAAAAUCCUCAAAUGUUUCCUGAGUACCUACUAUGUGCCAAGCCCUCUGGGGAUUGGAAUGACAUACGCUCAAAGAAAUCCCUAGUCACAAAAGGUAUGUAGUAGGUGCUAAAUCAUUUCAGACCACAGCCCUGAAGAUCAAGGUCAACAGCCUUGGCUGUUGGAGGGCAAAUUUAAAAAGUAAGGUUGCUGAGUUUAUGCACCCUGGUGUUUGCCUAGACACUAAAACUGGGUGAUAUUUUAUAAAAUAGAAGAGAAGGGCCCUAUCAAUGCCAAGAAAAAAACCAAACAGUUGGUCACUCCAGCCAAGAGUAGGCUUAUGUGGAGGGGACAACUGAAAACUCAAGUUGGGACCAUCAGGAGAGGGGACCCAGAAGAGGCCUCCCCUCUAAUCCUAAACCCAACCAUUUUUGUGUUUCCCUGUAGCUUCCCUAAUAAAUUAUUUCCCAGGUUUUCUCCUCUCACAAUCUUAUCCUUCAAGGCUCUGCUCAAGUGACACCUCUUCCAGGAAGCCUUCCAAGAUGCCUGCACUCAGGCUUCCUUCCUUCCAUCACAGCAAUCAUCUACCUGCUUGUCUCUUUGUCCAGACUGGAGGCUUGGGGUCUGAUGAGCCUUCAUCUCCCCACCCAGUUGAGGGCCUGGCACACAGUAGGAACAAAGCAGCAAUAGCCACACUGCUGACUUGUUUGGAGGUCUGGCCCUGAGAAGUCUGUGCUGAGAAUGUGGCAGGCUGAUCCCCAAGCUACCUGGGACUGUGAGCAAUGGGUAGAUUUUCAAGGGAAAACAGAGGGGGGGAAAAAUUUUUUUUUUUUUUUUGGGUUCUAAUUAAAGCAUUUCUAAUAAGCUGGCUUUGCCAAACCCAGUUGUUUCUGAUAUUCCUCUUGGGUGAAGUAAUCUUAAACUAAUAGACAAAAAUAUUAAAAGCGGCGAAAACCACUCAUGGCUAGAAGGGUGAUGGAGGUUCUCACCGGGGGAACUGGCCAGGAGGGGGCCUAUUGGGGGCACUAAGAAUAGGAUGCACCCAGUAGAGUGCAAAGGUGUGUUUGUGCCCGUGCACAGCAGAACAUCAUGUUUAUGGCUUUAGCAUUUGAACUGUGGGAGCGAAGAUGAGGGCUGUAAAAUCUGCUGUCCAAUUUUAUAAAUCAGCCUCAAACACCAAAAAAGUUUACAGAGAAAACGGGAAAAGAAAUUACAGUAUUUAUGGGGCUCAGAAUGGUAAGAACCCUGGGAUGGGACCUGGGACAUUUGGACUCUGCCAGCAACUCACUGUGGGACCUAAGGAAGACCCUUCCCCAAUCCUGUGCCUCAGUUUCCCCAUCUGAAAGCCAAGCACUUAACCUGGAAUGAGUCAAACCCCUUCUUCCGGCUCUCACGUGCCUAAAGGUCUGGGGAACAGCCAAACCCUGCAUCUUGGUGUUUUACCAUGUGAAGCUGGUCAUUUCCAGCCCCGUCAAUGCCUCUGGGAGGGGACCAAAUCACAUUUUCUCUGGUGCCUUUGAGUUGUUCACCCUGCUAUAAGCAACACAAGACCCUAAAUCACGACACCUCCCUGGGGUAAGCACAAGGCUCUGCUAAUAACCCUACUGCCUUUGUGCAGCCUCUCAGUUUACAGAGAGCUUUUGCUUCUAUGGCAGCCCUGAGCCUCGAGGCAGAGUGGAAACUGAGGCUCAGAGACUUGAAGCAUUUUGCUGGGCGACUCUCUCUGCUGGAGGAAGCAGUGGGCUGUGAGGCCUGGCCCUCCAGCCUCUCUAGCGUCCUCCUCCAUGCUGAGGCACCUUCACUGAUGGCCCACCGCCUACAGCACCCCACAUGGCCUCCCUCAAGUCCCCAACCACCCCACUCCGCAGAUGGCUUUUGCAAAAAUAUUUUUAAGUCAGUCUUAUCAACAAGAUGUUAGAAAUGUUAUUGGCAAGAAAUGUUUUUCUCAUUUGGGGAGACCACCCAGUGCCUUAAAGUAAGCUGUCCCAGGGCAUGAGGGGUUUCCUGGUGACGGGCGGCCGAUUUCUGUGGGCUAAUAGGAGAUCGUUAUAAGCCAGCCGGGAAUGUAAUCAGGGCGGUUCAGACACUGGAGGGGACCAGGGAACUCCACGCUGUGGGCCCAGCUCAGAGGGGAGACAAGCAAGCCAGGAACAGAAGGCUGACCCCACCCAGGGGCAGGUCUGCACUGCCGGGCCGGUGGGCGCACUGGAAAUCAGACAGGCAACGGAGGCAGAACCAGUGCAGACGCCUCCUGCCUCGGGGUUUGGGGCAGCGAUGGAAGAGGGGGUGAGUCAGGAGAGCGUGUCUUCCUGGGUCUUUCCCAAACUGACCUCUCAAGAUCUACGUUGCAGCUGGUGGUACCACCUCCUACCCAGCCUCUGAGAAACCACCCCCAUCAAUCCGACCACAAAACCUUUCUCCUUUCCGCUCGUACUGCCCUAGUCUCUUGCCAAAUUCUCACAGCAGCGUCCUGAGCAGCAACCCUUCCACACACACCCGCAGCCAGGCUGGGCUUCUGAGAACCUCCAUCCUGCCAGCUGCGGAGGCCACCACCAUCCCUGGGAUCAAGUCCAAAAGCCUCUGAGCUGCCCUCACCUUCUGUCUCUGCCACCAGACCCCCAGGCACUCCCUAGUACCUGGGUGGAAACCGAGGGCUUCCAGCUCAGCUGGACCAAGAGGCCAGGGCAGGGUGGGGGGAGGGGGAAGGCAGGGAAAGAAUGGCAGCCUGGGAGUCAGCAGACCCUGUGCCUGUUGCUCCCCGGCUACAUGGCCUGGGACAGGCCCCUGGACCUCUCUGAGCCACAGUGUUCUCUUCUGUAGAAUGGGGGCCGUAAGUUGUGCCUUCCUCUCUGGGUUGCUCGGGGGCUGGCCCUAGAAAAGCAAAAGGACCUCCACAGUUGGGUCCCACAUCCUGAUUCUGACAGUGCAGACCCAGAUGGAAUAAACUUCUGUUUUCAGGCUCCUACAAGCUGGGGGGAAGAGGCUUAAGGGUUCUUGGCCUUCUACAUGUUGGCUCUGCCCUGAGAAAACACCAGAGAAAUGGCUGGCAAGGAGCUCUGACCCAGGUCCUGCUUGGCCAGUAGAGAGGAGCGGGGGAGGCUUCUGUUCAGAGGCCCCUAGGCAGAAAGAAGGCCAUGCACUCACUGGCCCUGUGACAGAGGUGAGAACCCAGUCUCCAUGUACAUGUAAAAAUGAAGGUCAUAAUUCCUGCCCUGCUCCCUACAGCGUUACCAUGGCAGGGGUGAGCUUGAUGUCCACAGGUAUCAGUAACCACCGCAUUUAAGCAUCUCAGCAUUUAAGCAUCUCAGCAUGUCAGAGUGGCUGACAGGGCCCGACUUCACUGGACUGUUUGCUGGAGAAUAAACCGAGGGCUCAGAGAAGCAUAACUUGAACUGGGCUUUGCCUGGACCCAGGCCCCACAGCUCUGAAAACUGCACUGCAAACCAGAACUACAGUGGGAUCACCCCAUAAACUCAGAUGAAAGACAAAACAAAACCACUGUGCCACCAGAGCCCCGGGAGUAGAAUGGGGGAUGGGGUGUGGGUGGAAAUCAAAGCCUGGUCUGGGGCCCCACAGCUGGUUAGAGGUGAAGUCAAGAUUUGAACCUGGGUCUCCUAGGCUUAAGAGCUCUUUCUACACUCCCUAUCCCCACCACUCCAGAAUCACCAGAGCCCCACCUGUGGAGCCCAGGAAAGGCACAGUGUUAAUAAUAAAGGCUGUGUCCUUGGAAAGUGGCCCUGGUGGUGUUAAGAGCUUGGCUGCUAAGCAAAAAGUCAGCAGUUCGAAUCCACCAACCACUCCUUGGAAACUCUAUGGGACAGUUCUACUCCAUACUAUAGGGUCUCUAUGAGUCAGAACCAACUUGAUGGCAACAAGUUUGGUUUUGGUUUUGUCCCCGGAAAUGUUUUGCCAGUGGCAGGGGCUAGGCCCUUUUGUUUUAGAACCCUGUGCCUGGGUACAUUUUCUCAGUAAUUCUGAAUAAAGGGAAAUGCCAUUGAAUACUCCUCACGGUGUCCUCUUGAAGGCUCAUUCUUUCAUCCUGCGAGGCAUCUGCACAUUUGAAAGUUCACCGUUCUUGUUUAGGCCACUGCAAGGAGUGUGUGAGGAGCCUCUUUGUUUUGCCUGCAGCAGUGGCUCCUAAUUGCGGUAUUUCCUUUAAACGUUUUUAGAAGGAGAAAACAUGCUGCAUGCUAAUUGAGCAAAAAGUUCAUUUUUCCUCCAUCAGCCCUGAAAGGAUGAGUUUCCACGGCUGUGGGAAAGGGUGGGAGCCCUCCACAUGGCGAGCCCAGCCUCCCUCCAUCCCCAGUCCAGGCAGACUCA